UAGCAAAUCAUUUGCUGAUCCAGCUGAAUAACAAUCAGUGUUUAUGUAUUCCAGGCGAUGAGGACUCGAGUCUGCCCCGGAGCCGGUUGUGAAGCCCUCUUUACACCCAGUCCUCCUCAGGACGAUAGACACAAUUACUGCUGUUUAUUGUCUCUGCUUGACACGCUGAGUGAAGGAAAUGGCUUGUAAAGUAUUAUUUGUUUGGAGAAACGGAGGGUGCUUGAAGCCCAGCUCCGAUCGAGGGCCGGGGACGAGUUCAACCCUCCGACAGUGGAGGAUGGAGACGGCAAAGGAUGAUUGUUUCUUUUCUCGUUGUUUCAGCGAGAAGACAUUUUAUAUUUUUAAGUCUUUGGUGGAGUGAAAACCAUUUCCUCUGGGCUGUCGGUCUUCAAAGAGGCACAAUUUGAUGGGCCAGUGUGGACAAGCUAAGACGAAGAAGUCACGCAACAUCUGGGCAGAGAGAGCCUUGAAAAACCCCGCUGAUAAGGGACAGAACAGACAGCGCCGGAUGUUUGUCUCUUCAAAUUAUCAUUAUGAAGUCUACCUUGGAGGUAUUUAACUGAUGCUCACAUCUGGAGAGAGGAGGGGUUACCCAGGUCUUAACAGUACAUGUACCAAGGGUUAUUAGAAUGUGUGUUUAUGUUAAAAAGCAGAUUGUUGGUUGCAUUGUGUGUUUUAAAAUGUGGUCUUAAACAAUCCUAUUCCAACAGAAAUACCUCUUUAUGUCCCAGCAGUAGUUAUAAGCUUAACAUUUAUGGGAUUAUGAUCUGCGUUAAUUAUACGUUGGGAAGAAAACAUUUAGACUGUUUGUUCCAGUGGCGUCUGAAAACCACAGUCCUCACUGAGAGAAAGGGAAGCGCUCUCCAUUAUUACACCGAAUAAAACAGUAAUGACCAAUUAAGCCCUGUAAUAAACAGCCGGGCAGCUUGUGAUCAAGGCCCAUUGUCCCUGUAAGCCUCUGAAACCAUACUUUCUUUUAUCAGCUCCUUUUAAACAGGCUGAAAAACAGUAGAUCCUCUCUGACGAGCUUUGCCAGCGAGCUCCAUAAAAUCUAAUCCAGCCACUUAACAGGGGAAGCGGGACAUAACUUUGAAUUAUUUAUGUUACUGUGCAUUAAGCUGCCGGUUAACAUUCUCCAAAACCCGAGCAAAUGAUGUCACUGUUAUGUUGCGGUGUGUAAAGCCCCCCUACUCUCCAUGUGUUAAACGAAUUAUGGCCCGACUUGUUGAAAUUCAGCCCCCCGGGAGAUGAGUUCCCUCUGCGGGGAUACAGGCAAUAUACUGCAGCGGGACCACAUCAAUAACACGAGGUGUCAAGAGGACAAAGUGUCGUUAGUCCUUUUGAAUGUGUCCAGGAAUCAACCACAACCCUAUUAAAAGAAUCACUUGAGUCCAUUUCCAUUGGGGACACGUACUCAAAGCACAGGAAAGAUCAUAGUGUGUCAUAUUUACAUAAUGCGAUCUUAUUAUAGAAAUAGAAAGUGUUUUAAAUAUUUGUUCUAUUAUAUUCCUAUACUAAAAUUACUGUGGCUAGUAGUGUCCACCCAAUGACUAACAUCAUGUUAAAUAUAUUGAAUGUGUUGUUACUAGGAUAUUCUUUAACUGUUUACAUUGACUAUCACCCUUCUGAAACAACAUAUUUUCUUAAUUUAAUCCCUCAUUGAUAUCCCAACUAUGAUCCUAAAUAUAUCCAUCAAGGCCCGGGGUUUUCUGUUUGCAUCGACUGAGAGCACACUAAAGUUUGUCGUAUACUAUUAUUCAUUAUUAAUUAUUUUUAAAAAUCACGCAUCCCAGACCAGGACACUGUCCCGCAGAGCUGUUUUCCAGACGGUCCUCUGGGUGUCACAGGGACACGACUGGUCUUAUCCGACCAAAGACGCCCCGGCUAUGCGCCCAAAACCCAAACCUUUGCGCAUCGGCGUGGAACUUACGCGUGGAACUUACGCGUGGAACUUACGUGUGGACAAGGACAGCACGCCGGGACUGUACAGCAUGAGGAAAACCAAGCAGAUAUCCAAGACGACUUUCAUCCCCCCCACGCCAGCCACCCCCCCUCCCCGACCCACAGUUCCUUUGAGGUCCCUUUCUUGAUUCCUCGUCCUCGUGUUGUUGUGAUGUCGCCUUUUCCCCUCUGUCUCUCUCUGUCUCUCUCUCUCUCCCCCCCUCAACUCCUCCUCCUCGAUCUUGGAUAGAAAUUACGCACAGCGUGGAAAGAAGAAAGAAACAAAACAGGACGGGUUCAAAAUAGUCCGGACUGGGAAAGCAGUGCACUGGGAGGAAGUGGAGAAAGUCGCCCUUUGAGGAGCCUUUAGGCGAGUGAGCGUCCCGGCUGCGCGCUGCUCGCUUCUCCAGGCUUCCUGCAGCUGAAUCAUACACAAGUUCAUACUUUCUAAGCCCCUCCUCUCUCCCUCUCUCCCUCUCUCCCUCUCUUCCUCUCUCUUCCUCUCUCGUCCCACUCAGUCGCCAGUCACCCCCCCCCCCCCCCCUCCUCCCUUUCCCUUUGCUUUCACCAACCUCUCCCUCUUCAGUGAUGGGUAGGGGGGUGAGAGGGGGGCGGGGGGGUCGUUCACUUCCACUGAAUCACUCUGUUUCUGUUACUUUCCAGGCCCCAAGUCUCUGUUUGACUGUUGAGUCACUCAGGAGUCUUUUGUUUAAUCGAUUUUAUUACUUUUUAAUAAUUUUUUUGAAUCCACCAAAGCAUAAGUAAGACUCAGUUUAAUGAUCAUUUACAAUUAAAAAAUUAUGAAGUGUAUUAUGAAUGUGAAUUAUAUUAUGAAGACCAAAUAAAACAUUCCUGCUUUUACCAAUGAGAAGGUGAAUAAAAGAGCAAUAAAAUGCCUUCCAACA